rnacentral:rRNA from 1 species
AAAUUGAAGAGUUUGAUCAUGGCUCAGAUUGAACGCUGGCGGCAGGCCUAACACAUGCAAGUCGAGCGGCAGCGGGAAGUAGUUUACUACUUUGCCGGCGAGCGGCGGACGGGUGAGUAAUGUCUGGGAAACUGCCUGAUGGAGGGGGAUAACUACUGGAAACGGUAGCUAAUACCGCAUAACGUCUUCGGACCAAAGUGGGGGACCUUCGGGCCUCACGCCAUCGGAUGUGCCCAGAUGGGAUUAGCUAGUAGGU